GCCUGGGGCUAGGGGAGCAGGGGAGGAGAUGGAAAAUGGGCUGGAGCUGGGUUCUGGUCUUGGACACCGGCAGGUUCUCCCUCCCCCUUGGCCCUCCCCCAGGUCUCUCGGGACAAAUGCUGGACCCAGAAGCCCAGUUCCCGGACCUGGGAGAGGAUGUCUCCUUCUCCAGGCCCCACCCCUCGCCGCCCUGUGGUCCUCAGUCUGGAUAGACCCUCAGCCUGGGACCUUCAGCCUGGGUGGACUCUCAGCCUGGAUGGACCCUCAGCCUGGAUGGACCCUCAGCCUGGGACCCUCAGCCUGGGUGGACCCUCAGCCUGGGUGGACCCUCAGCCUGGGUGGACUCUCAGCCUAUGAUCUUCUGGAGGAGCUCCAGGGGCCCCAGCAAGAUGCUUGGCUUCCAUGACACGUGCUCCGAAGUCCCUGGUGAUGGGGCCUGCUCCAGAGAGAGGUGUGUGGCCCCCAGACUCCUCCAGUCACCCCGAGAUACCCCCUGACCGUGACGGGGGAGGUGAGGGUAGGCAGGCUGUCCCUUGCGGGGGGAUCUCCUAGCAGAAAAGAAGGAGAGGAAGUGACCAGCUAUUGACUGAGCACUCACUGAUAUACUGGAAGCCUUUAUCCCCAAGACUAUCCCACAAGUGGGUUGUUACAACUCCCUCAUACAGAUGACAAUUUGGCUCAGAGAGUUGAGAGGACUCUGCCCAGGAUCACACCCCUGGCUCCCUCCAGGAACGGCAGGUCACAGUGAGGAGUCCAGCAUGUGGGAGAAUCUCCAACCAGACGGGUGCCUCUGCUGUGUUGGGAGAUUUAUGUCAUCCAAUAGUCACUCAACAAACACCCCAGGCAUGAAGCAGAGAGUCUGUGUCAUGGCAGGAAAGGGGUAGUCUUUGCCCAGAGACUGCUGUCACCAGGAAGCCUGACCUUUCCUUAGGACAGCAGGAGGUGGGAACUCAGUGUCUUUCAGGCCUCUGUGACCAAGCAGACCUGCUCCCCUGGGCUGGCCUGAGGGUGGCUGUGGAGGGGUGGGGCCCGGCGCUGGUGGACCCAGGACCUCGUGAGGGGCAGGUGGGAAGCAGAGUGCUGGAUUCUGAGCCCAGGGGCAGCCCGGGCAGGACAGGUCAGGAGGAGAGGGGCUGCUCAGGCUUCCUGGGGGGCUGGUUCUCCAGCUCUUUGCAGACCAGCAGGAACCCUCACGACCACCAAGAAAGUGUGCUGCUCUCUGAGGCGGGAGCCUGGGGAGGGCAGGGGCUGAUCCAGCCCGCUUACCACGCUCCCCUGCACCUGUCGCUAGGCUGUCCCAGUAAAUACGCGCUCAGUGAAGAUGUGGGGAGGAGAUUUGUGUCCCGUGUCCCCAAAUUCCCCCCAGAGCCCAAGAUCCAGAGAGGCCUUUUCUCUGUCCCUUGCCC
rnacentral:lncRNA from 1 species